CGCUUAUGAGCUCGCUGACUUCAUACCGCCACCUACAGGCCUGGAGUGCAACCGCGCUAUCGUCGACGAGUCAGAAAAAGAGUACACCUUCAUUACCAAAGAUGUGUUCAUGCCAUGAAAACUAAACAAUCGAUAAUGCACAAGGAACAGGAGAUGAGGAAUAACAGACUAUGCCCACCACCAAGAAUGUGGAAUACUGGUAAAGUUGGUAUUUGGGACGUCGUGUUCAACACUAUAAACCAUGGCAGAGAAUGUGAAGAUCCCCAUAGCGAUAAAGAGAAAGAGAC